AUUCACUGCCGCCUCAGACUGCGCUGAUUGAGACGAUUCCAGCUUCUGUAUGGGGCACAGUCUAGCCUAGCUAGAUCACAUGACACUCCACUGUUACCAGUAUACAGAACUCCAGCUGUACUGUGGAUGUGAUGUGUAAAACAGAAAAUACCUCUGGAAUACAAGAAACCAAGCACAUAAUAAUAUAUUCUCAACCACAGACAACUAAAAUCAUGUCAGUGAGUGCAUUUACUUGUUGUUAAAUCCUUUCAUUGUAUAUUGUGCAGAACAAAUGAAUUACAUACUCUUCUUUGGGCCAGAAAUAAAAAAACAAAAAGAAGAUUUUGAAAGAUACGUGAUUGCGGAGGACUAUGUCAGAUUUGGUGGAGUGCGACAAUGACCAGCAUUUUUUUAAUUUCAAUAAAAUGGUUAACGAGG